UAGGGAAUCUUCGGCAAUGGGGGGAACCCUGACCGAGCAACGCCGCGUGAGUGAAGAAGGUUUUCGGAUCGUAAAGCUCUGUUGUUAAGGAAGAACGAGUGUGAGAAUGGAAAGUUCAUACUGUGACGGUACUUAACCAGAAAGGGACGGCUAACUACGUGCCAGCAGCCGCGGUAAUACGUAGGUCCCGAGCGUUGUCCGGAUUUAUUGGGCGUAAAGCGAGCGCAGGCGGUUAGAUAAGUCUGAAGUUAAAGGCAGUGGCUCAACCAUUGUAGGCUUUGGAAACUGUUUAACUUGAGUGCAGAAGGGGAGAGUGGAAUUCCAUGUGUAGCGGUGAAAUGCGUAGAUAUAUGGAGAAACACCGGUGGCGAAAGCGGCUCUGUGGUCUGUAACAGACGCUGAGGCUCGAAAGCGUGGGGAGCGAACAGG
rnacentral:rRNA from 1 species